rnacentral:rRNA from 1 species
ACCCCUAAGGCGAGGCCGAAAGGCGUAGUCGAUGGGAAACAGGUUAAUAUUCCUGUACUUGGUGUUACUGCGAAGGGGGGACGGAGAAGGCUAUGUUGGCCGGGCGACGGUUGUCCCGGUUUAAGCGUGUAGGCUGGUUUUCCAGGCAAAUCCGGAAAAUCAAGGCUGAGGCGUGAUGACGAGGCACUACGGUGCUGAAGCAACAAAUGCCCUGCUUCCAGGAAAAGCCUCUAAGCAUCAGGUAACAUCAAAUCGUACCCCAAACCGACACAGGUGGUCAGGUAGAGAAUACCAAGGCGCUUGAGAGAACUCGGGUGAAGGAACUAGGCAAAAUGGUGCCGUAACUUCGGGAGAAGGCACGCUGAUAUGUAGGUGAAGCGACUUGCUCGUGGAGCUGAAAUCAGUCGAAGAUACCAGCUGGCUGCAACUGUUUAUUAAAAACACAGCACUGUGCAAACACGAAAGUGGACGUAUACGGUGUGACGCCUGCCCGGUGCCGGAAGGUUAAUUGAUGGGGUCAGCGCAAGCGAAGCUCUUGAUCGAAGCCCCGGUAAACGGCGCCCGUAACCAUAACGGUCCUAAGGUAGCGAAAUUCCUUGUCGGGUAAGUUCCGACCUGCACGAAUGGCGUAAUGAUGGCCAGGCUGUCUCCACCCGAGACUCAGUGAAAUUGAACUCGCUGUGAAGAUGCAGUGUACCCGCGGCAAGACGGAAAGACCCCGUGAACCUUUACUAUAGCUUGACACUGAACAUUGAGCCUUGGUGUGUAGGAUAGGUGGGAGGCUUUGAAGUGUGGACGCCAGUCUGCAUGGAGCCGACCUUGAAAUACCACCCUUUAAUGUUUGAUGUUCUAACGUGGACCCGUGAUCCGGGUUGCGGACAGUGUCUGGUGGGUAGUUUGACUGGGGCGGUCUCCUCCUAAAGAGUAACGGAGGAGCACGAAGGUUGGCUAAUCCUGGUCGGACAUCAGGAGGUUAGUGCAAUGGCAUAAGCCAGCUUGACUGCGAGCGUGACGGCGCGAGCAGGUGCGAAAGCAGGUCAUAGUGAUCCGGUGGUUCUGAAUGGAAGGGCCAUCGCUCAACGGAUAAAAGGUACUCCGGGGAUAACAGGCUGAUACCGCCCAAGAGUUCAUAUCGACGGCGGUGUUUGGCACCUCGAUGUCGGCUCAUCACAUCCUGGAGCUGAAGUAGGUCCCAAGGGUAUGGCUGUUCGCCAUUUAAAGUGGUACGCGAGCUGGGUUUAGAACGUCGUGAGACAGUUCGGUCCCUAUCUGCCGUGGGCGCUGGAGAACUGAGGGGGGCUGCUCCUAGUACGAGAGGACCGGAGUGGACGCAUCACUGGUGUUCGGGUUGUCAUGCCAAUGGCACUGCCCGGUAGCUAAAUGCGGAAGAGAUAAGUGCUGAAAGCAUCUAAGCACGAAACUUGCCCCGAGAUGAGUUCUCCCUGACUCCUUGAGAGUCCUGAAGGAACGUUGAAGACGACGACGUUGAUAGGCCGGGUGUGUAAGCGCAGCGAUGCGUUGAGCUAACCGGUACUAAUGAACC